UGCCUCGGCGGAUCAGCCCGCUCCCCGUAAAACGGGACGGCCCGCCAGAGGACCCAAACUCUAAUGUUUCUUAUUGUAACUUCUGAGUAAAACAAACAAAUAAAUCAAAACUUUCAACAACGGAUCUCUUGGUUCUGGCAUCGAUGAAGAACGCAGCAAAAUGCGAUAAGUAAUGUGAAUUGCAGAAUUCAGUGAAUCAUCGAAUCUUUGAACGCACAUUGCGCCCGCUGGUAUUCCGGCGGGCAUGCCUGUUCGAGCGUCAUUUCAACCCUCAAGCCCCCGGGUUUGGUGUUGGGGAUCGGCUCUGCCUCACGGCGGUGCCGCCCCCGAAAUACAUUGGCGGUCUCGCUGCAGCCUCCAUUGCGUAGUAGCUAACACCUCGCAACUGGAACGCGGCGCGGCCAUGCCGUAAAACCCCAACUUCUGAAUGUUGACCUCGGAUCAGGUAGGAAUACCCGCUGAACUUAAGCAUAUCAA
rnacentral:rRNA from 1 species